rnacentral:rRNA from 1 species
CCUACGGGUGGCAGCAGUGAGGAAUAUUGGUCAAUGGGCGCGAGCCUGAACCAGCCAAGUAGCGUGCGGGAGGACGGCCCUACGGGUUGUAAACCUCUUUUGCCGGGGAGCAACGGGCGCCACGUGUGGCGCCACUGAGAGUACCUGGAGACAAAGCAUCGCAUAACCCCGUGCCAGCAGCCGCGGUAAUACGGAGGAUGCGAGCGUUAUCGGGAUUUAUUGGGUUUAAAGGGUGCGUAGGCGGCUCGUUAAGUCAGUGGUAAAAUCGAGGGGCUAAACCCCGUCCCGCCCUGGAAACUGGCGGUCUGGAGUGGAAGAGAGGUAUGCGGAAUGCGUGGUGUAGCGGUGAAAUGCAUAGAUAUCACGCAGAACCCCGAUUGCGAAGGCAGCAUGCCGGCUUCCGACUGACGCUGAUGCACGAAAGCGUGGGGAUCGAACAGGAUUAGAUACCCUUGUAGUC